GACGAACGCUGGCGGCGUGCCUAAUACAUGCAAGUCGAGCGAAGUCGCCCCGCUGAAGUCUUCGGACGGACGCGGGAUGAACUUAGCGGCGGACGGGUGAGUAACACGUAGGCAACCUGCCCGUAAGACGGGGAUAACUGGCGGAAACGUUAGCUAAUACCGGAUAGGCCUCUUAGGCGCCUGCUUAGGAGGGGAAAGACGGAGCAAUCUGUCGCUUACGGAUGGGCCUGCGGCGCAUUAGCUAGUUGGUGAGGUAAGGGCUCACCAAGGCGACGAUGCGUAGCCGACCUGAGAGGGUGAUCGGCCACACUGGGACUGAGACACGGCCCAGACUCCUACGGGUGGCUG
rnacentral:rRNA from 1 species